AUGAUAACCUCAGAUGCAGGCAUGGAGGAAGUGUUUCUUCCCAACUUUGGAGAAGGUUUCAUGGAAGAGAAAUUCAUCACACCUAGCUGGUGAAUCGGACUGUGCUGCUCAGUGAGGUUCCAACUCAAGUCGUAGAGCCAAGCUUCCUCUCUGCAUCCCGAGAGCUGACACUGGAGGAGAAUAUUUCCCUGAGUUUGUGAAACUUCUUUGAGGAAACCUUCCAGGAUAAUGUGUGAUGGACAUGGCAAAGAUGAAUGUUCCUGGUUACUACUCAACAUGCAGAAGUGCUGUCCUUAAUGGCUCUGCACAGGUAUUCACAUGGUAAAUUUUCGUGAGCAUUCAGGAAAGAAAACAAACAACAAGAUGACUUGGAAUGGGAUACAGAUUUGCUGAGCCUUCAUUACUCUCCUCAACAGGAUCAUGAAACAAGUUGGAUUUUUUUUUUGUGGGAUGAUGGAUAAUGCAGGAAAAAUGUGUCAGGAUUGGAGGAACAUGUGGAAACACACCAAGAUUCAUUUUGAUCAUUGUGACAAUGAAAUGACACACAAGGGAAACUGGAUGCCUACUUCAUUCAAACCUUACUGAUAAAUGAUCUCAUCAUCCUGUUCAACAUGAUCUCAGACUCAGGCACUGAAGAGAUUCUUAUCUGCCUUCUCCUGAGAAGAUUUUGGUGAAGACAAGACCACAUACCUAGCUGAUGGAAUGCUGGGAAGAGUGUGAUGUGCACAACCCGGGCUUGCAAAGCAGUCAGGUACAUAUUGUUUCUACUGUGAGUCAAAUACAUUUGUUUAUUCUUUCUGGUCUGGACACUCCAGUAUUUGAGAUGAGUAAGGUAAGGGGGCUGUCCAUAUUCCCAUGGAAAGAACUUUUCUACCAAGUAUAAAGUCAAGGAUACUUACACUCUUGUAUAUAUAAAAAAAGCUAUACUCAAAUGGAUGCUGACUUAU